GAGGGUACAGCUCAGUGGUAGAGCAGGUGCCUAGCAAGCAUGAGGUCCUGGGUUCAAUCCCCAGUAUCUCCA
rnacentral:tRNA from 1 species